GGAGUGGGCUGGGUGAUCGCGUGCUUUGGCAUGAGGAAAGUCCGGACUCCACAGGGCAGGAUGCCAGCUAACGGCUGGGCGGGGUGACCCGACGGAGAGUGCCACCGAAAAGAAGACUCCCCUGCUACUCUUGUCUUUUGAGACGAGGGCAAAAGGAGAAAAGCUGAAACGGUGCGGUAAGAGCGCACCAGCGCCUUGGUAACAGGGCGGCUUGGUAAACCCCAUCCGGAGCAAGAGCUAAUAGGAGUGCUAAUGAUUGGCCCGAUCUGCACUCGGGUACGCUCGCUAGAGUGUGUCGGCGACGACAUUCCCAGAUAAAUGAUCAUCCACGACAGAAUCCGGCUUACAGGCCCACUCCCUCU
rnacentral:RNase_P_RNA from 1 species